GAAACUGCUGAAGCUGCCAUGUCUAAGAAGAAAACUUUGGAGAAAAAUUUUCUUCUUAGACAUGGCAGCGUCAACAGUUUC
ensembl:miRNA